CCUACGGGUGGCUGCAGUGAGGAAUAUUGGUCAUUGGGCGCAAGCCUGAACCAGCCAAGUCGCGUGAAGGAUGACUGUCCCACGCAUUGUAAACUUCUUUUAUCAAGGAAUAAAAUGAGGCUCGUGUGCCUUUUUGUAUGUACUUUAUGAAUAAGCAUCGGCUAACUCCGUGCCAGCAGCCGCGGUAAUACGGAGGAUCCGAGCGUUAUCCGGAUUUAUUGGGUUUAAAGGGUGCGUAGAUGGGCUGUUAAGUCAGUUGUGAAAGUUCGCGGCUCAACCGUAAAAGUGCAAUUGAUACUGGCAGUCUUGAGUACAGUGGAGGUAGGCGGAAUGCGCAGUGUAGCGGUGAAAUGCUUAGAUAUCACGAAGAACUCCGAUUGCGAAGGCAGCAUACCAA
rnacentral:rRNA from 1 species